rnacentral:rRNA from 1 species
GAUGAACGCUGGCGGCGUGCCUAAUACAUGCAAGUCGAGCGAACAGACGAGGAGCUUGCUCCUCUGACGUUAGCGGCGGACGGGUGAGUAACACGUGGAUAACCUACCUAUAAGACUGGGAUAACUUCGGGAAACCGGAGCUAAUACCGGAUAAUAUAUUGAACCGCAUGGUUCAAUAGUGAAAGACGGUUUUGCUGUCACUUAUAGAUGGAUCCGCGCCGCAUUAGCUAGUUGGUAAGGUAACGGCUUACCAAGGCAACGAUGCGUAGCCGACCUGAGAGGGUGAUCGGCCACACUGGAACUGAGACACGGUCCAGACUCCUACGGGAGGCAGCAGUAGGGAAUCUUCCGCAAUGGGCGAAAGCCUGACGGGCAACGCCGCGUGAGUGAUGAAGGUCUUCGGAUCGUAAAACUCUGUUAUUAGGGAAGAACAAAUGUGUAAGUAACUAUGCACGUCUUGACGGUACCUAAUCAGAAAGCCACGGCUAACUACGU